AGUGAACGCUGGCGGUAGGCCUAACACAUGCAAGUCGAACGGCAGCACAGUAAGAGCUUGCUCUUACGGGUGGCGCGUGGCGGACGGGUGAGGAAUACAUCGGAAUCUACUUUUUCGUGGGGGAUAACGUAGGGAAACUUACGCUAAUACCGCAUACGACCUACGGGUGAAAGCAGGGGAUCUUCGGACCUUGCGCGAUUGAAUGAGCCGAUGUCGGAUUAGCUAGUUGGCGGGGUAAAGGCCCACCAAGGCGACGAUCCGUAGCUGGUCUGAGAGGAUGAUCAGCCACACUGGAACUGAGACACGGUCCAGACUCCUACGGGAGGCAGCAGUGGGGAAUAUUGGACAAAGGGCGCAAGCCUGAUCCAGCCAUACCGCGUGGGUGAAGAAGGCCUUCGGGAUGUAAAGCCCUUUUGUUGGGAAAGAAAAGCAGCAGGUUAAUACCCCGCUGUUCUGACGGUACCCAAAGAAUAAGCACCGGCUAACUUCGUG
rnacentral:rRNA from 1 species